rfam:Ornithorhynchus anatinus chromosome 3, whole genome shotgun sequence.
CCCCUCUCAGAGUAGCACCUAGAGAGUUUCCAGGACUCUACCAGUCUCGAAGAUGGGAAGGAGAGUCAAGCAGAUGCCUACCCAUUCCAUUCCUUGCUUGGGCAGUAGCUAGCGAGUGGAAGGCAAUCUGCUACAAGU